CAAGAACAAGUGUCUGCUGAGCACUUACCAUGUGCCUAGCGCUGUGCAGAUGUUGCACACAGCGUCUCAUUUCCUCCUCACACCAACUCCACAAGGUGUGUGCUGUUACACUCCUUAUUGUGCUGAGGGCAAUGGAAGCUCAGACAGGUGGAGUCAGUUGCUAGAGGCCAUUGAGUGGUGGCAUCGAGUUUGGAACAUAAGUUUGAUUCAAGAGGCCAAGUUCAUAACCACUAGGCGAUUCUGUCUCCGAUUCUGUCUCCCCGUAUAUAGGGCAAUACAAACUGCCACACACCUGCUCAAUGGAAUGGGACGGAAGAGGGUGAUACCAAAGAAAAUUGCAGUGAGGACCUUGGGCUGUUGGAGGGAUUGUGUAGAAAGCUGUGUGGACAAUCACACGAACAAAAGUCAUCAUUGAAGCCACAUCCCACCCUCAGGAGUUUGCUCUCUCAGGAGGCGGCAUCCAGCAGAGCUAGCGGCCUUAGCUGUCCAGAGGUGGAGAACAACGCCACCUGUUGGUUGAAUAAGAUAUGGCCGCACAACAACUUGGCAUUGAUCUGUCACCCAUGAAGUGUUUAUUAAUCAUCCAUUGGGUACAGGACCCACAGCACUGGGCUGUAUGUAUAAGACUGUGGGAAGAGAAGUGGGAUGAGAGGUGAGGGGAAUGCAGGAGAACUUGGAAGCACAGCUCUGCCGCGCAGAACCGAAAGGUGUGAGUUGGAGCCUGGGCCGCCCAUUUCUGUCCUUUCUUGUGGGUGCCUAAAGAUCUGUGAAAAUAAACUGAAGGAGAGCGGAAGAAGUGAGGGACCUGGAUUGGCCUGAGAAGCUUAGAGAGGCUCCAUCAAAGAGGCAAAACCUGAGCAAGCAAGGACUUGGAAAAGCAAAAUGGUAUUUCUGCACACCUGUGAAAUGAUGUAUGUACAAGCUAUUUGCUGCAAUGUUAUUUGAAAUAUAAAAGUUGGGAAUGGCCCAUGUGUCCAUCAGUAG
rnacentral:lncRNA from 10 species